UGUACAAUGUAGUGAAUCCUAAUGUAAACUAUGGCCUUUCGUUAAUAUUGGUUCAUCAACGAUCAAAUCCAUGGACUUGAGGAUCCUUUCUUAGACCACUACAAAUUUAAGGACCCAAAAACUAGAGGACUCCUUAACAGAAGCCUAACAAGGCUGGAAUUGUUGGCUCCGUAGGUACUUGGAUGCAUGUGUCCUUUCCCUGUGCUUCUCUGAAACCAGGUUAAUCCUGAUUUUAAUAUCACCUCAUAUUUCGUUCUUUAUUUCAUAAUUUGUAUUUACUAAAUACAUUAUCAUCAAUACUUCAUUUGACCAUCUUAUCCUCAACAACUGUGGAAAAGCUGCUUAUUCAAGACUACCUACGUUAUUUUACUCACCAAGUUUUGUCCUGUUUAAAUGUCAUAUCACAUUCACUAAACAAAUAUUCUUUAAGCACCUGCUCUGUGUAAAAUCCUGGAGCAGGAACUGAAGAAGGACAUCUGAAUAAUUAGUUUAACCUUCAAAUAGCUUAUAGCAGUAGUUCUCAAAGUGAACCGUGGAAGCCUAGGACCCCUGUGACUUUUUCAAGGGAUCCAUGAGAUCAAAACUAUUUGUGUAGUAACUGUGAUACUGUGAUUUACAAGAAGUAUAUAUUUGGCCAUCCAAAUGGGGGAUGACCAUUAUAGUUAACAUACAGUGUUUUAUUAGUUUCAGGUGUACAAUAUAGUGAUUCAACAAUUCUAUACUGAGUGCUCAUCACAGCAUCACAGUGACUUUGGGAGUCUACAAAAGGGCAGGGAAGAACUUUUGGCCCCACCCCCACCUCCAGGAAGGGGGAGAGGGGCUGAAGGUUUCAUCAGCCAACAGCAAGAGACUUAGUCAAUCACGACUACAUAACAAAGCCUCCAUAAAAACCCAAAGGACUGGGUCCAGAGAGUUUCUAGGUUGGUGAACAUAUAGAAAUGCUAGGAGAGUCGCACGCCUGUAGAGGGCAUGGAAAUCCCGUGCCCUCUCCGCCCUCUUCCCAUCCCUUGCCCGAUGUCUCUCUUUACCUGGCUGUUGAUUGAUCUCCUUUGCUAUAUCCUUUAAUAAACUGGUAAAAAUAAAUGUUUCCUCAGUUCUGUGAGCCUCUCUAGCAAAUUAGUAAAACCUCGUGGGAAUGUCUGAUUUACCGCCAGCCAGUUAGAAGUAUAGGUACAAGCUGGACUUGUGAUUAGCAUUCUGAGUGGGAGGGAGUCAUUGCAACCUCCAUCUGCAGCUAGUUGGUCAGAAGCACAGGUAACAGCCUGGGACUUGUGAUUGGUGCCUGAAGUAGGGGGCCAGGGGGCAGUCUUAUGGGAUUGAGCCCUUAACCUGAUGCUAUCUCUGGAUCAAUAGUGUCAGAAUUGACUUGAAUUCUUGGAUACCCUGCUGGUGCCCAAGAAUCGCUUGGUUGUAUGUAUAGGAAACCACCUCUUCGAGAGAGAGAGAGAGAGAGAGAGAGAGAGGGAGAGAGAGAGAGAGAGACACACACACACACACACAC